rnacentral:sRNA from 1 species
AUUUUUCACCCAUGUCUUUUGCGCACUUUUUGUUUCCUGGGCGAGUUCGCUCGCCACCAGGACCCAACCAUAAACCUUUUUUUAUGCAGUUGCAAUCAGCGUCAGUAUAAUAAUUCAAUUUAUUAAAACUUUCAACAACGGAUCUCUUGGUUCUGGCAUCGAUGAAGAACGCAGCGAAAUGCGAUACGUAGUGUGAAUUGCAGAAUUCAGUGAAUCAUCGAAUCUUUGAACGCACAUUGCGCCCUUUGGUAUUCCAAAGGGCAUGCCUGUUCGAGCGUCAUUUGUACCCUCAAGCUUUGCUUGGUGUUGGGCGUCUUUUUGUCUCUCCCCUUGUUGGGGGAGACUCGCCUUAAAACGAUUGGCAGCCGACCUACUGGUUUUCGGAGCGCAGCACAAAUUUGCGCCUUCCAAUCCACGGGUGCGGCAUCCA